AUAUGAACAGUAAUACACCAAAAUAAAGGAACACUGUUUAUUUACUUUAUUUUAAUUUUUUUUCUUUACAAAAUUGACCUCUCAUUUAUAUUUUCAUUUUCAACUAAAAUAAAGUUAUGCAGUAUACAUUUUCACAUCCUUAAAAUACUAAGUUUAAUACAUCUUUUAUUUUUAAUUAUGUGUUGUAAUAAAAUAUUAAAAUAAAAUUUUAGUUAUAUAGAUAGUAUAAUUGUUGCAGUUCACUGUUAUAAAAUAAAAUAAAAGGUAAAAUUAAUAUUUUUAAAGUUACUGAUUGUAUAAUAAAUUGAUAAAUAAAUAGAAAAAUAUUUUAAAUAUCUUUUGUAAGAAUGGAAAGUAUAUGUAAUUAUUAAAAUAAAUUAUUUUUAUAUUUUUAGACUAAAAAACAGAUGUAACCGUUAGAAACAGUCUAAAAAUCUCAUAAGAAAGAAAAAAAACUCAUAAGAAUAUUCAUAUUACUAGCGCGCAACCACAAUGGUUAGAAAUCCUUAAAAAAAUCUUAAACAAAAAAAAAAUAAUAUAAAUUAAUUGUUUAGUUAAAUUUUAAUUAGAAAACAUAAUUAUAUCAAUCACAAAUGUCCCAUGAGUUUUUAAUUAGGUUCUUGAAAGCUCUUAGUGUAGAAUUUCCAUCUUUCCUCUCUCUUCAAUUUUGAUUAUUUUUAACUUUUUAUUAUUAGAUACUCAUAUUUCAGGUGCUUUAAUACUCUUGUGUUCUCUCUUCUAUUUCCUCAUUUAAUCUUUAAUUGUAAUGUUGAGAACUCCAUUUGAUAUCACCAAUGGAGAUGCUCUUAAGGAACUGAAAUUAUUUUUCAAAUUUUUAUAAAUUUAAAAGCAAACGUAACUUCACUUUCGUUCGUCCCUGUUAGGCCCAACCUCAUCUCUUUUGUAGACACACAACUCUCUUAGUGGCUUCUUCUUCGUCCCCUUUUUUAACAUGCUUACUCUUUUUCGGUUUCGACCAUAAUAAAUCAAUCAAUAUUUUAACUAUAUGUAAAACAUUAAAAUAAUAAUUCUGCAAUGUAGCACUUUGUGGGGUGUAGAGAGCGACAAGCAUUUCCAGAGAUUUCUAGUCAUUCUACCACUUUCAAAAUAAAAUAUUGAAAAACUUGUUCGAUGUGACGGAUUUGCAAGUGUAAG
rnacentral:lncRNA from 1 species